rnacentral:rRNA from 1 species
GUAUGGAACCUACCUUCUACAGGGGAAUAGCCCAGGGAAACUUGGAUUAAUGCCCCGUGGCACCGCGAUCCGGCAUCGGGACGCGGUUAAAGCCUUCGGGCGGUAGAAGAUGGCCAUGCGUCCCAUUAGUUAGUUGGUAAGGUAACGGCUUACCAAGACAGCGAUGGGUAGGGGCCCUGAGAGGGGGAUCCCCCACACUGGUACUGAGACACGGACCAGACUCCUACGGGAGGCAGCAGUGAGGAAUAUUGGACAAUGGAGGAGACUCUGAUCCAGCCAUGCCGCGUGCAGGAAGAAUGCCCUAUGGGUAGUAAACUGCUUUUAUACGGGAAGAAAAAAGGGUACGUGUACCCUACUGACGGUACCGUAAGAAUAAGGACCGGCUAACUCCGUGCCAGCAGCCGCGGUAAUACGGAGGGUCCGAGCGUUAUCCGGAAUUAUUGGGUUUAAAGGGUCCGUAGGCGGGCCGGUAAGUCAGUGGUGAAAGUCUGUAGCUCAACUAUAGAAUUGCCUUUGAUACUGCCGGUCUUGAGUUAUGGUGAAGUUGCCGGAAUAUGUGGUGUAGCGGUGAAAUGCAUAGAUAUCACAUAGAACACCGAUUGCGAAGGCAGGUGACUAACCAUAUACUGACGCUGAUGGACGAAAGCGUGGGGAGCGAACAGGAUUAGAUACCCUGGUAGUCCACGCCGUAAACGAUGGAUACUAGCUGUCCGGGUCCUUGAGACCUGGGCGGCCAAGCGAAAGUGAUAAGUAUCCCACCUGGGGAGUACGUUCGCAAGAA